rnacentral:rRNA from 1 species
UGCUUCCCCGUCGCCCCCGCCGCGCGCUCCUCUCCUUUUCGCCCAUCCCUCCUCACCUACAAUUCUUCGAUCUGGCACUGCCCGAGUGGUGAAAUGGACUAGAGACUGCUCGGAAUUUUGUAGAUUGGAAGGAAUCACUGGUUCAGGCAUUUUGGUGGACAAUCUUCAUUUGAUCCUGAGUGCUGACUCGCUCUUCUGUUGUCAUCAAUGUCUAGCUUGCUGAAUUCAAAUCUUAACAGUUCCGCAUCAAAUCUUCCAGACUCAACCGGACGACCAUUUGCAACAUCCUUUUCUGGUCAAUCUGGAUCAGUUCAAGGUCUCCAUCACUCUGGUCUGCGCAACAUUCAUGGAAAUUUCAGUCUUCCAAGUAUGCCUGGAUCACUUGCACAAAGGAAUGCUGUGAUGAGCGGCCUUCCAUCCUCCGGGGUUCAACAACCUGGAGGGAGCAUUUCUGGCAGAUUUGCUUCAAACAACCUUCCAGUUGCCAUGUCUCAGAUUCCUCAUGCACAUUCAGGUGUCAGUGGUAGAGGAAUGAAUGUUGGUGGAGGUCAAGCAUUUAGUAGUGGCAUGAAUAUGGGUGGUACCAUUCAAGGUUUAUACUCAAAUUUGGGCACCAGUGGUAAUCGAAAUUCUGUUCCUGGCAUGUCAGUGUCUCCAGCUUUAGGAAACUUGGGUCCACGUAUUACAAGCUCCGCAGGAAACAUCGUGGGUGGAAGUAACAUUGGAAGAAGCAUAAGCUCUGGUGGAUUGUCGGUGCCGAGUAUCUCAUCACGCAUCGAUUUUAGUAGCAAUGCUGGAAGUGGAAGACUAAAUGUGCAAGGAUCCAACAGGAUAAUGAACGGCCUUAAUCCUCAAGGAUCAUCACAACUGAUCAAUAUGAUUGGUAAUUCAUACCCAACGUCUGGAGGUUCAUUAUCCCAGAACCAAAUGCAACCAGGAAAUAAUUCUCUAGGUUCUAUGGGGAUGCUACAUGACGCCAGUGACAGCACUCCAUUCGACAUCAAUGAUUUCCCCCAAUUGACUGGUCGACCUAAUUCAGCUGGUGGUCCGCAAGGACAAUAUGGAUCACUACGGAAGCAAGGAGUUGGUGUUAACUCCAUUGUUCAACAAAACCAGGAGUUCAGUAUUCAGAACGAAGAUUUCCCGGCUUUGCCAGGAUUUAAAGGUAGCAGUUCAGAUUAUGCUAUGGAGUUAAAUCACACGGAACAACUUCACGAGAAUGUACCUGUAAUGCAAGGACAACAAUAUCCCAUGGCAAGGUCCGUUGGGUUUAAUUUAGGAAAUAGCUACCAACCAAAUCGUCAGCAACAUCUGCAGGGUGCUAAUUCAAUUCAGAGCGCCGGACCUCAAAAUAUUGGACUAAGACCACUAAACUCUUCGAGUCAAACUUCUAAUUUGGGAUCAUACGAGCAACUGCUCCAGCAAUACCAGCAGCCGAAGGCUCAGAGUCCUUUCGGGUUGCAGCAGAUGUCUUCAGCCACACAGCCAUAUGGGGAUCAUGGUCUAAAGCCCAUUCUGGGAGGCCGAACACCACCUGAUCCAUACGGCUUGUUGGGAUUGCUGGGAGUUAUAAGGACGAAUGAUCCUGAUUUGUCAUCUCUUGCUUUGGGAAUAGAUUUGACAACGUUGGGUUUGAAUUUGAACUCACCAGACAAUCUGUACAAGACAUUUGGCUCUCCAUUUUCAAAUGAGCCAGCAAAAGGAGAUCCAGAAUAUCCUACUCCAGCUUGUUAUGUGGCUGAGCAACCCCCAGCACUACAGCCUAUGCAUUUUCAGAAAUUUCAGACACUCAUACUGUUUUACAUAUUCUACAGCAUGCCGAAGGAUGAAGCUCAAAUAUGUGCUGCCAAUGAACUACAUAAUCGUGGAUGGUUUUACCAUAAAGAAGCGCAGCAAUGGUUCACAAGAAUUCCCAACAUGGAGCCUAUUGUCAAAACUCCUACAUAUGAACAGGGGUCUUUUGCCUUCUUUCAUCAAGGCAAUUGGGAAACAGUCCGUAAGGAUAACUUUGUUCUCCAUUAUGAGCUAGUAGAGAAAAGGCCUAGUCUCCCUUCCGCGUCCCAAAUUGUUAGGUGAAAAUUUUCUGGGUACCUCCUGACUCUAGCUUUCUUGUACAUGAAUGGAGAGCCUUCUUUAUAAACAUAGUGAAGCGAUAUUGCCCUAACUUGUCAAGAUAGUCUAUGUAGUGAAUCAGAGAGCACCAUGUCAUGUCAGAGACGCGGAGAGGAGGAGGCUGCAGAAGGAGGAGAAAAUGCCUUUGUAAUUACAGUAUAUAGUUAGAAAAAGGAUGGCACUGUCGUUAAACAUUACCUAGCUUCUUCGUACAUCAUGGGGAGUUUGUCUGUAAUGCUCCUUGACAAACAGUUUCGGAGUAGCCAGUCAGUCUGCAACUUAAAUAGACCACAACGGAACAAAACAAAACAAAUUGGUUUAUCUUCUCUGGCAGUGGUAGAAUUUUGUUGCUCGUUCGCUGUGAAAUUCUGCUUACUUUUGAUCAGCACUGCCACCUUGCUCAGCCGUAAUUCUACUGAAAGGAAUUUUUGGAAAAAGGUAGGUUCCAGCGAGGGUCCAUUGCUACGUUUGGUCAGCAGGGUCGAUGGGGCUUGCUCUAGCGGAUUUGCUGUACCACAGGUGCUUGUAGUUUCUGAUCUCCAAAAAAGAUUGCAGCACCCGAAAUUUAACCCGGCAAUUGUCUUAAUUAAUCAAUGA